rnacentral:rRNA from 1 species
GACGUAGGGCGCGAGCGUUGUCCGGAUUUAUUGGGCGUAAAGAGCUCGUAGGCGGCUUGUUGCGUCGACCGUGAAAACUUGGGGCUUAACCUUAAGCUUGCGGUUGAUACGGGCAGGCUAGAGUUCGGUAGGGGAGACUGGAAUUCCUGGUGUAGCGGUGAAAUGCGCAGAUAUCAGGAGGAACACCGGUGGCGAAGGCGGGUCUCUGGGCCGAUACUGACGCUGAGGAGCGAAAGCGUGGGAGCGAACAGG